AUGAAAGACAAAGAUCUUGAAGAUUCUGAUGAACUCUUUGAUUCUACACCAGAGAGUUCAGAUUAUUACUUUACAGAUACUACUUCUGAAAGUGACUUUGACAGUGAUGCUAAUCUUAUACCAAACCAGACAAAACUUCAGCUUCUUUAUGAUGAACUGGAUGUUGAUGAUUCUGGCUCACUGAGUUCCCUUGACUGUGACACAGCAACACCAGAAAAAACGCACAGCCUUGCAUCUGAAGCAUCUGGAACAGAAGAACCAUGUUCAAGUCAGAAUGCAAUAGAAGGCGUAGUUGUUAGUGCGUACCAAAAAAGAGGUGUUAGUAGAGUGUACAACAAGAGACAUUACUGCCUGUAUUGCUGUAAGCCUUAUGCUAAAAUGGCAAGGCAUCUAGAAAGUUCACACGCAAAUGAAUCUGAUGUGGCUAAAGCGCUAAGCUUUCCAAAGAGUUCCAAGGAGAGAAAAAAACAGCUAGAUUAUAUUCGCAACAGAGGAAACUAUGUUCACAAUGCUGCUGUUAUGGAAUCAGGAAAGGGGGAACUAGUGCCAUAUAAACGACCCUCCAAAGAAGCGCAGGGGAAAGAUUUCAUGCAUUGUGCAUACUGUCAAGGACUUUUUGCAAGAAAGGUCCUGUGGCGACAUAUGCGCACUUGUAUACUUCAACCUCAAUCGGUCCCCCUCAAACCAGGAAAAAACCGUGUUCAGUCGAUGUGUAUAUACACAGGGCCUGUGCCUUCAAACAUGACUAAACCACUAUGGGAAGUAAUUAGUGUCAUGAAUCUUGACCCAAUCACAGAUAUAAUAAAAAAAGACAAGGUAAUUAUUGAUGUUGGUCAGCAUUUGUUAAACAUAGGUGGACUAACAGCCAAGAAUAAACAGUGUGUGCGAGAGAAGAUGCGAGAAUUGGGAAGGUUGGUUCACAAUGCUAGAAGAGUCACCUCCUUAAAAACAAUGGAAGAUUGUGUAAAUCCAAAGAAGUACAUGGAGACUGUCAAAGCUGUCAAGUAUACAUGUGGGUAUGAAUCUGACAAGUUCAUGAUUCCAUCACUUGCAAAAAAGCUUGGGAAUUCUCUGCUUCAAGUAACCAAACUCUUAAAAGCUCAGGGCUUAAUGUCAAACGACAAACAACGAGUGAAGAAUGCCAGUGAGUUUCAAGAUGUCCAUCAGGAAAAGUGGAACGAAAUGAUCUUAGACACGGCAUUGAGGAAUAUUAGGGAAGCAAAGUGGAAUGUGCCCGCUCUCAUACCCUUUGCUGAAGAUGUACAGAAAAUGCACACAUAUCUCAGUCAAGUGCAAGGUGAGUGGUACAAAUCACUCUCUGAAAGUUCCUCUACUAAAGCCUGGAUGGAGCUGGCAAAGGUUUGUCUAGCCCAGAUAAUUCUCUUUAACCGGCGCAGGGGAGGAGAGGUGGCCUGCAUGACAUUGUCUGCAUUUUUUUCAAGAGACACUUCUGAUCCACAUGAGGAUGUGGACUGGGCACUGUCCGAAGUAGAAAAAAAACUCUGCAGGCACAUCUCAAGGAUCAUCACCAUGGGAAAGUGUGGUCAACCAGUUCCAAUUCUUCUGACUCCAAAAAUGCUGUGCUCCUUAGAACUCCUUGUUAAGCAGAGAGAGCCUUGUGGAGUUCUAAAAGACAAUGUUUACAUGUUUGCAAAACCAGAAGCCAUGACACAUUUCCGAGGGUCAGACUGCCUCCGUGGCUUUGCAAAGGCAUGUGGUGCAAAGUGUCCCAAAUCACUGACAUCUACCAGACUGCGAAAGCAUGCUGCAGUCCUUUCAACAGUGCUGAAUAUGACAGAAACGGAGAUGGACCAGCUUGCAAACUUUCUUGGACAUGAUAUAAAAAUGAAUCGUGAAUUCUGCCUACUCCCUGAGAAGACCCUGCAACUCGCCAAGAUCUGCAAAGUUCUAAUGGCUCUCGAACAAGGAAGAUUUGCUGAGUUCCAUGGCAAGAACUUGGAUGAAAUUGUGAUAGAUCCUGAUGGUGUGUUUUAG
ensembl:lncRNA